rnacentral:rRNA from 1 species
UGGGGAAUAUUGCACAAUGGGCGCAAGCCUGCUGCAGCGACGCCGCGUGGGGGAUGACGGCCUUCGGGUUGUAAACUCCUUUCGCUAGGGACGAAGCUUUUUGUGACGGUACCUAGAUAAGAAGCACCGGCUAACUACGUGCCAGCAGCCGCGGUAAUACGUAGGGUGCGAGCGUUGUCCGGAAUUACUGGGCGUAAAGGGCUCGUAGGUGGUUUGUCGCGUCGUCUGUGAAAUUCCGGGGCUUAACUCCGGGCGUGCAGGCGAUACGGGCAUAACUUGAGUACUGUAGGGGUAACUGGAAUUCCUGGUGUAGCGGUGAAAUGCGCAGAUAUCAGGAGGAACACCGAUGGCGAAGGCAGGUUACUGGGCAGUUACUGACGCUGAGGAGCGAAAGCAUGGGUAGCGAACAGG